rnacentral:rRNA from 1 species
UACGUAGGGUGCAAGCGUUAAUCGGAAUUACUGGGCGUAAAGCGUGCGCAGGCGGCUAUGCAAGACAGAUGUGAAAUCCCCGGGCUCAACCUGGGAACUGCAUUUGUGACUGCAUAGCUAGAGUACGGUAGAGGGGGAUGGAAUUCCGCGUGUAGCAGUGAAAUGCGUAGAUAUGCGGAGGAACACCGAUGGCGGAAGGCAAUCCCCUGGACCUGUACUGACGCUCAUGCACG